rnacentral:rRNA from 1 species
AUGACUAGGGAUAACCUUAGGAAGAGACACGUCAUCAAACCCCUUGAUUGUGUUUACUGCUUGGAACAAGAGUCUUGAUCUCACCUAUUUUUUGAAUGUAUAGUUGCUAAACAUCUCUUGGCCCACAUUGAGGAAUAUUUCUCUAGUCAGAUUGGCUCAUCCUUCGAAUCUGUCGCCAGAUUCUGGAUUGCUACCAAAAAGUGCUCAGUUUUAAACAUUGUUAGCUCAGCUGUCCUUUGGUGCCUCUGGAUAUAUAGAAAUGCUAUGAUUUUCAGUAACACCUCCUGGAUUUCCAUUCCGCAGGUCUUGAGGUUGAUCAGGGACAUGGUGAAGAACUGGGCGAUUCUCUCCUCCGGAUCGGACAAGGACAAGUUGAUGAGCUUCCUGGAAACCCUAACAAGAUCCCUCCAGAAACCGUUGGCGAUCACUUGUGGCGGAACAAGGCUCGACCUGCUGUGGGGCUGGACCCGUGGGCUCGUCUCAAGAUCUCUGAUGAAGAUGAUGGGCACCUGGCGCCAAAAAAGAGGGACAUCCACCAUGCUAUGCCUUCCAGCCCGGUGUCUCCGCUUGCUUACUGGUCGCCGUAGGCUGGCACGGCCCCUCGGCUGA